GUCUACGGCCAUACCACCCUGAACGCGCCCGAUCUCGUCUGAUCUCCGAAGAAACAGAACAUCGUUGGACAUGAAAAGUACGGGAGUUUGAACAUGUUUAUUUUUCAGAUACCAAGAGCUACAGAAC
rnacentral:rRNA from 1 species